CUGGUGCCAGCAGCGCGGUAAUUCCAGCUCCAAUAGCGUAUAUUAAAGUUGUUGCAGUUAAAAGCUCGUAGUUGAAUUUCGGGAUCAGUAGGUUGGUCAUGCCUCUGGUAUGUACUGGUCUCACUGGUUCCUCCUUCCUGAUGAACCGUAAUGCCAUUAAUUGGUGUUGCGGGAGACUGGACUGUUACUUUGAAAAAUUAGAGUGUUUAAAGCAGGCAAACGCUUGAAUACAUUAGCAUGGAAUAAUGAAAUAGGACGUUUGAUCUUAAUUUUGUUGGUUUCUAGGAUCGACGUAAUGAUUAAUAGGGAUAGUUGGGGGCAUUAGUAUUCAAUUGUCAGAGGUGAAAUUCUUGGAUUUAUUGAAGACUAACUACUGCGAAAGCAUUUGCCAAGGAUGUUUUCAUUAAUCAAGAACGAAAGUUAGGGGAUCGAAGACGAUCAGAUACCGCCGUAGUCUUAACCAUAAACUAUGCCGACUAGGGAUCGGAUGGUGUUAAUUUUUAAUGACUCAUUCGGCGCCUUACG
rnacentral:rRNA from 1 species